rnacentral:misc_RNA from 1 species
GAACUGCGAUAAGUAAUGUGAAUUGCAGAAUUCAGUGAAUCAUCGAGUCUUUGAACGCACAUUGCGCCCCCUGGCAUUCCGGGGGGCAUGCCUGUCCGAGCGUCAUUGCUGCCCUUCAAGCCCUGCUUGUGUGUUGGGUCGUCGUCCCCUCCGGGGGACGGGCCCGAAAGGCAGCGGCGGCACCGCGUCCGGUCCUCGAGCGUAUGGGGCUUUGUCACCCGCUCGAUAAGGACCGGCCGGGCGCCAGCCGGCGUCUCCAACCUUUUUUUCUCAGGUUGACCUCGGAUCAGGUAGGGAUACCCGCUGAACUUAAGC